rnacentral:sRNA from 1 species
UGCUGGGGCAGUGUGGGGAGGAGCCUUCUCCCAUCCCAGGGGCUUCACGCAGCUUCCUUAACGAGGUUUCCCAGCUAUCAGAAGUGGAAACAGAAACAGAAAAUUGAUGAUCGUGACUCGGACGAAGAAGGGGCAUCUGACCGGCGAGGCCCAGAGCGAAGAGGUGGGAAGCGAGGCCGUGGCCAAGCAGGUGCAUCCCGGCCCCACGCCCCAGGCACCCCUGCAGGCCGUGUCCGCCCGGAACUCAAGACCAAGCAGCAGAUCCUGAAGCAGCGGCGCCGGGCCCAGAAGCUGCGCUUCCUGCAGCGUGGUGGCCUCAAGCAGCUCUCUGCCCGCAACCGCCGCCGCGUCCAGGAGCUGCAGCAGGGCGCCUUCGGCCGGGGUGCCCGCUCCAAGAAGGGCAAGAUGCGGAAGAGGAUGUGAGGACCAGGACCCAGCCCCUUGGCUCCUUGAUUGGC